AUUGAACGCUGGCGGCAUGCCUUACACAUGCAAGUCGAACGGUAACAGGUUAAGCUGACGAGUGGCGAACGGGCGGGUAAUGUAUCAGAACGUGCCCAGUCUUGGCGGUUAACUGCUCGAAAGAGCAGCUAAUACCGCAUAUGACCCGAGGGUGAAAGCGGGGGAUUGCUAGAGCUCUCGCGAUUGCAACGGGGGAUAUCAGAUUAGGUAGUUGGUGAGGUAAAGGCUCACCAAGCCGACGAACUGUAGCUGGUCUGAGAGGACGACCAGCCACACUGGGACUGAGACACGGCCCAGACUCCUACGGGAGGCAGCAGUGGGGAAUUUUGGACAAAGGGCGCAAGCCUGAUCCAGCCAUGCCGCGUGCGGGAAGAAGGCCUUCGGGUUGUAAACCGCUUUUGUCAGGGAAGAAAAGGUUCUGGCUAAUACCUGGGACUCAUGACGGUACCUGAAGAAUAAGCACCGGCUAACUACGUG
rnacentral:rRNA from 1 species